rnacentral:rRNA from 1 species
UCCGAAGGGGGCUAGCGUUGCUCGGAAUCACUGGGCGUAAAGGGUGCGUAGGCGGGUUUUUUAGUCAGCGGUGAAAUCCUGGAGCUCAACUCCAGAACUGCCUUUGAUACUGAAAGUCUUGAGUAUGGGAGAGGUGAGUGGAACUGCGAGUGUAGAGGUGAAAUUCGUAGAUAUUCGCAAGAACACCAGUGGCGAAGGCGGCUCACUGGCCCAUUACUGACGCUGAGGCACGAAAGCGUGGGGAGCAAACAGG